UCGUCGGUGGUGUAGUGGAAAUCAUAACCGAAACCAUUAACUUGGUGGAUCGGUGGACGAGGGUUCGAAUCCCUCCUGGCGAA